CAAAUACUCUCUCCGUCCCAAAAUUCUUGUCUUAGAUUUGUCUAAUCUAAGACAAGAAUUUUGGGACGGAGAGAGUACUCG
rnacentral:pre_miRNA from 1 species